AACGAACGCUGGCGGCAUGCCUAACACAUGCAAGUCGAACGGGAUCCUGGCUUCGGCCAGGUGAGAGUGGCGGACGGGUGAGUAACGCGUAGGAACCUGCCCAUCGGUCUGGGAUAACUGCGGGAAACUGCAGCUAAUACCGGAUGUACCCGAGAGGGGAAAGAUUUAUCGCCGAUGGAGGGCCCGCGUCAGAUUAGGUAGUUGGUGAGGUAACGGCUCACCAAGCCUACGAUCUGUAGCUGGUCUGAGAGGAUGAUCAGCCACACUGGGACUGAGAUACGGCCCAGACUCCUACGGGAGGCAGCAGUGGGGGAAUAUUGGACAAUAGGGGGCGAACCCGUACGA
rnacentral:rRNA from 1 species